GCCCUAUUAGCUCAGUUGGUUAGAGCGUCGUGCUAAUAACGCGAAGGUCACAGGUUCGAAGCCUGUAUGAGGCA
rnacentral:tRNA from 1 species